rnacentral:rRNA from 1 species
UACGGAGGAUGCGAGCGUUAUCCGGAUUUAUUGGGUUUAAAGGGUGCGUAGGCGAUCCGGAAAGUCAGCGGUAAAAGCCCGGGGCUCAACCCCGGCGAGCCGUUGAAACUGUCGGACUAGAGACGGCGAGAAGUACGCGGAAUGCGCGGUGUAGCGGUGAAAUGCAUAGAUAUCGCGCAGAACUCCGAUUGCGAAGGCAGCGUACCGGCGCCGGACUGACGCUGAGGCACGAAAGCGUGGGUAUCGAACAGG